rnacentral:rRNA from 1 species
UGUAAGCGUAUACCAAAGUUGUUGCAGUUAAAACGCUCGUAGUCGGAAUUUGGCAGUUCCGGAUGUGUGCACGUCGUGUGCGCACUUCGCGGGGAUUGCUUUUGUGGUCUUGCGUAGGAUGAGGCACUUUUAUUAGUGAACGUCCUCACGCAACCACUUUUUACUGUGAGAAGAUCAGAGUGCUCAAAGCAGGCAUUUGCCGUGAAUGUAUUAGCAUGGAAUAAUAGAAUAGGACUUGGUUCUAUUUUGUUGGUUUGUUGGGACUGAGUAAUGAUUAAGAGGGACAGUUGGGGGCAUUUGUAUUUCGGUGCUAGAGGUGAAAUUCUUAGAUUACCGAAAGACAAACUGCUGCGAAAGCGUCUGCCAAGGAUGUUUUCAUUGA